ACAUCUUGGCCUUCUCGUUAUUCUCCCUACUUCGUCUGUCUUUUCAGAAUUUGAAAGGAAAAUACGAGUUAAGCAAGACUUUGCCUGGUUAAUCAACCAUCUUUUGCUCGUCCUCAAUCAAUAUUCAUGGUAGUUAGACUCCGCACUAUAUUUAACAAAAAUGAAUAAAUUUAGAACUCAUUGUAUAGGGUUAAAUUUGGCUCAUAACGCACCACGUUAAGUGGGCACGUCCCUUAUAAUAAAGGCGAUCCAAGUGAGGGCACGGUCCAAGUUGGAAAAGAAGAAGUGACA
rnacentral:lncRNA from 1 species